rnacentral:misc_RNA from 1 species
UUUCGGUAUCCUGUGUUGCUUACCUACGGAAAGGAAUUCAAUCGUAUCGUUGCCUUUUUUCGCCUGGUGCCCUUUUGGGUUGUUGGGUGGACGUCAGGCACGCUGCGUGUUCCUUGCAUGCCUUGCAUUUUUGUGGGGCUGUUGAGGUCCACGGAGCUGUUGCUUGUUCUCUCGGAUGCGGAAUGUCUCGCAUGGGUGCGGGGUCUCGACCUUUGCUCGCCCAAGCUAUGCAUUUGUCCCUUGACACGAACGACAGCUGCGACUGUGUUGAUCCCAUUGUAGCCCAUGUGCUUGAUGGGGCUCAUGCGGUCGUUGGCGUCGUUGAGGAAUGCUACCUGGUUGAUCCUGCCAGUAGUCAUAUGCUUGUCUCA